UACAGAGGUGGCAAGCGUUGUUCGGAAUUACUGGGCGUAAAGGGCGCGUAGGCGGUUCGUUAAGUCCUGUGUGAAAUCCCCCGGCUCAACUGGGGAACUGCACAGGAAACUAGCGGGCUUGAGUUCGGGAGAGGGAAGCGGAAUUCCGGGUGUAGCGGUGAAAUGCGUAGAUAUCCGGAGGAACACCGGUGGCGAAGGCGGCUCCUGGACCGACAUGACGCUGAGGCGCGAAAGCUAGGGGAGCAAACGGG
rnacentral:rRNA from 1 species